AUGGCCACCCUCCUCCGACCGCCACUCGACACUCGUAACUUGCCAGUAGUUCUCGUUCUCGUUUUCCUCUGUCCAACGAUCGCCUUCGUUUCACAUUCGUUUUACAGCCUCCUUUGGAUUAACAACUAACACACGGACUCAGAAUUGCAAAUCCUAUCCUGGUGGAAGUUUGUUUAGUUUAUUUCAACGGUAGAUCUUUGUCACAGGAUCAGUGUUUAGCCGUUUUAAACAGAGACAAUUGGGAUGAUAUUUAUUCAUACACCAUCGCUGUUUUAAAAUAGAAUGGUGGAUGAAUGAAAAAACUCAACAGAUAGACUUCAAUCCAUUGUUAUUAUUAAUGUUGAUCUCUUUUGUAUUUCUUUAUAGUUAAAUAAAACAUUAUUAUUGUAAACUAAA